rnacentral:rRNA from 1 species
UACGUAGGCAGCGGAGCGUUGUUCGGAGUUACUGGGCGUAAAGGAGUGCGUAGGCGGUUUCUAAGUUUGGUGUGAAAUCGUCCCGACUUCAACUGGGAGGGUCGCCGAAGACUGGAAGCUUGAGUAUGGGAGAGGUAAGCGGAAUUCCCGGUGUAGCAGUGAAAUGCGUAAGAGAUCGGGAGGAACAUCAGUUGCGAAGGGCGGCUCUCUGGACCAGCACUGACACUGAGGCACGAAAGCGUGGGGAGACAAACAGGG